GGUGCUGAGCCGGGUUUUAGCGGGUUACUUUGAUGUGGUAAAAUUCAAGAGUAAAAUCUCUUUGGCAUCU
rnacentral:tRNA from 1 species